UACGGGGGGGGCAAGCGUUGUUCGGAUUUACUGGGCGUAAAGGGUUCGUAGGUGGCCAACUAAGUCAUACGUGAAAUCCCUCAGCUUAACUGGGGAACUGCGUCUGAUACUGGUUGGCUUGAGUGCAGGAGAGGAACGCGGAAUUCCAGGUGUAGCGGUGAAAUGCGUAGAGAUCGGAAAGAACACCAACGGCGAAAGCGCGCUGCUGGGCCGACACUGACACUGAGAGACGAAAGCUAGGGGAGCGAAUGGG
rnacentral:rRNA from 1 species